AGUGAACGCUGGCGGCAGGCCUAAUACAUGCAAGUCGAACGGCAGCACAGUGGAGCUUGCUCCAUGGGUGGCGAGUGGCGGACGGGUGAGGAAUACAUGGGAAUCUGCCCAGUCGUGGGGGAUAACGUAUGGAAACGUACGCUAAUACCGCAUGCGCCCUUCGGGGGAAAGUCGGGGACCGCAAGGCCUGACGCGAUUGGAUGAGCCCAUGUUCGAUUAGCUAGUUGGCGGGGUAAAGGCCCACCAAGGCGACGAUCGAUAGCUGGUCUGAGAGGAUGAUCAGCCACACUGGAACUGAGACACGGUCCAGACUCCUACGGGAGGCAGCAGUAGGGGAAUAUUGGACAAUGGGGGCGAACCCUGAUCCAGCCAUGCCGCGUGAGUGAAGAAGGCCCUCGGGUUGUAAAGCUCUUUUGUCCGGAAAGAAAAGCAAUCGGUUAAUACCCGGUUGUCCUGACGGUACCGGAAGAAUAAGCACCGGCUAACUUCGUGCCAGCA
rnacentral:rRNA from 1 species